rnacentral:rRNA from 1 species
CCUACGGGAGGCUGCAGUGGGGAAUAUUGGACAAUGGGCGAAAGCCUGAUCCAGCCAUGCCGCGUGUGUGAAGAAGGCCUUCGGGUUGUAAAGCACUUUCAGUGGGGAAGAAAGCCUUGGGGCUAAUACCCUCGAGGAAGGACAUCACCCACAGAAGAAGCACCGGCUAACUCCGUGCCAGCAGCCGCGGUAAUACGGAGGGUGCGAGCGUUAAUCGGAAUUACUGGGCGUAAAGCGCGCGUAGGCGGUCUGAUAAGCCGGUUGUGAAAGCCCCGGGCUCAACCUGGGAACGGCAUCCGGAACUGGCAGGCUAGAGUGCAGGAGAGGAAGGUAGAAUUCCCGGUGUAGCGGUGAAAUGCGUAGAUAUCGGGAGGAAUACCAGUGGCGAAGGCGGCCUUCUGGACUGACACUGACGCUGAGGUGCGAAAGCGUGGGUAGCAAACAGGAUUAGAUACCCGGGUAGUC